UACAAUUUUGUUGUUAAAAAUUAUAAUUUAUACAAAAGGUUUGACCGAACAUAAUGGAGCCAAUAAUUACAGAGAGCCAAUACGUCACCCAAUACAAAAGGGCAUCCCACGCCAUAAGGACCCCAACUCAUAAUCAUGGUUAAAGAGGGUGAACUAAACAACUUUGGAAGCAUUUGGAAUCAUUAGUUUGUUUAAAUCAUUAGUUUUUUUAAAUAAUACAACCAAAUGCUGCCCAAGGUAGCAGAAAGGCUGUUCAAAAAUUCAAACACCCUCACCCUAUCAGUCUGUAACCAGUUCCUUCAUUCUUCUUACCAGUAUCUUACAUUAGUGGUGCUUAUCCAUGGCAGGUAAGCUUUCAAAUGGUAAUCCCUAAUCUCAGAAACCCAUAGUACAGUUCCAGAAUUUCUCUUUGCUCUCCAUUAUUUUUUUUUAUAGUUUAUAUUUAAACCCUUACCAGCUUCCCCAACGUCUUUUCUGCCUUGUUUAUGUUAUUAGUUUCGUUACUCGAUACUUAUUGAAAAGAUUCUUUUGAGGCAGCUGAAGGAUGGACUUGCAGAAUUUGAACUCGUUUCAUCAAACGCUGCUCUGAUUUUGAGUGUAAAAUUGGUUACAUAUUCUUCAGCAUUCCUUGGAAGUGAUAGUCAUCGGUUCUUUGCUAGAACGGGAUCAUCUCUUGGCGGAGCUCUCCGGCAUUGAGGAAGGUUGAGCAUUACUCGGUUCAGAUAGUUAUUGGGGAAGGACGUUAUAUGUUAUGGGCCUUAGAUUGGAGAUCAAAAGUACGAUCGGGUUUUGGGUCGUGGUUACAUAUUACCGAGGGGGUAGAGAUCACCUCACAUGUUCAUGCAUUGCAUGUCUAUCUAACUGGAGGGGAUUCAUACCUACCAAUUCAGACGCUCUUUUAAGUUAUUGAGUGUACUUUUCAUAUAUGAGGCUGCCACCUCAACUCAGAUGGUGAUCGCUAAAUCAAAAGCUCACGAGUACACAUCUGCAAGGAUAGCAAUCGGCCAACCAAAAGAAAAGAGUCACAGACCACUAUAUAAAGAAGACUUAAACUGAUUUUUAGGGUUCUAACUGAGCGGGAAACUUCUGCAACAUUAGUUGAACACUUGAAGAUGAGCACUUUGAAAAUUAACUAAAUGAUGCUUCCAGCUCUCCACAUCUGUCUCGUCUGAAAAUCCUAACAGAUAUAUCUCUAAUUUAUUGCUCAUAUAAUUUUACCACAUUUAAAUUUAAGUUUAUAUCUUGUCUUCUAUUGUUUUGUGGCUCUUAGUCGUCAGAUCAAAUACCUACACGCACUUGGUAAAUAUGAGAUUGAUUCGGCAAAAAUUCUCAAAUAUUGAGGUUUCCUGGGAAAUUUUACUCUUUAGAUUCGAAACUAGUGUAAUGACACCAAAACUCAAUAUAUGGUUGAACAUUCAUCGAAAUUA